GACCACCACUUCCCGAAGACAGCUGGCACUCCACUCGGCGACGGAAAGUUUCUGGGGUCCGGUCCGAUGACCAUGGAUGAAGUACUGGCUGUCCAGAGUCGAGACCCAGGAUGGACCGCUCGUCGGGACCCAGGAUGGACCGCUCGCCUGUAUCGGUUGGGGACAUCUCUACGCUGCUGAUCCGCUCGAGAUGGUUUCCUGUGGACGGGACUCUCGCUGCUGUCUUGGAGCCACUGUGGAUUGAACUUUCGCAGUAUCAUGUUGGACCCGCUCGACAUCCAUUGCUUUCGGUCCCCUAGAGGGGGGGGGUUGCCCACAUCUGAGGUCCUCUCCAAGGUUUCUCAUAGUCAGCAUUGUCGCUGGCGUCCCACUGAAUGUGAAUUCUCCCUGCCCACUGGGUGUGAGUUUUCCUUGCCCUUUUGUGGGUUCUUCCGAGGAUGUUGUAGUCGUAAUGAUUUGUGCAGUCCUUUGAGACAUUUGUGAUUUGGGGCUAUAUAAAUAAACAUUGAUUGAUUGA